rnacentral:rRNA from 1 species
UACGAAGGGGGCUAGCGUUGCUCGGAAUUACUGGGCGUAAAGGGAGCGUAGGCGGAUAGUUUAGUCAGAGGUGAAAGCCCAGGGCUCAACCCUGGAAUUGCCUUUGAUACUGGCUAUCUUGAGUAUGGGAGAGGUUAGCGGAACUCCGAGUGUAGAGGUGAAAUUCGUAGAUAUUCGGAAGAACACCAGUGGCGAAGGCGGCUAACUGGCCCAUUACUGACGCUGAGGCGCGAAAGCGUGGGGAGCAAACAGG